rnacentral:rRNA from 1 species
GACGAACGCUGGCGGCGUGCUUAACACAUGCAAGUCGAGCGAUGAAGUUCCUUCGGGAACGGAUUAGCGGCGGACGGGUGAGUAACACGUGGGUAACCUGCCUCAUAGAGGGGAAUAGCCUUCCGAAAGGAAGAUUAAUACCGCAUAAGAUUGUAGUAUCGCAUGGUACAGCAAUUAAAGGAGCAAUCCGCUAUGAGAUGGACCCGCGUCGCAUUAGGUAGUUGGUGAGGUAACGGCUCACCAAGGCGACGAUGCGUAGCCGACCUGAGAGGGUGAACGGCCACAUUGGGACUGAGACACGGCCCAGACUCCUACGGGAGGCAGCAGUGGGGAAUAUUGCACAAUGGGGGAAACCCUGAUGCAGCAACGCCGCGUGAGUGAUGACGGUCUUCGGAUUGUAAAGCUCUGUCUUCAGGGACGAUAAUGACGGUACCUGAGGAGGAAGCCACGGCUAACUACGUGCCAGCCGCCGCGGUAACAC